GCACCUUAACCUUAUGAAAAAUAUCAAUUUCAGGUAAAAAUCAAGUGUCAUGCAGGACAAUACUUUAAAAUUAUUUUUUAAACUAUCAUAGUGGGUGAGUCAUCAAACCAAAGCCAUAGAACACUACAGUCAAAUAUGACCUCAAAUUGAAUUUGCGGAUACUUCAGUUUUUUUUUAUAGACUACUCGUUGCUUUUGGUUUUUUUUUCACAAUUAUUACUGCUACCAUAGUAUUAUCUUUUGUUGUGUAUUUAACUCUGGUUAAUAUCUAUUACAUUAUAGGUUUUGUAACUAUAUCCCCCCUUUUUUCCCUUGCAACGUACCCCAAACUUCAAAAGUAUUCCAUAUAAAAAAAAGAAGAUGUGAUAUGAUUGCAAAUGAGACAACUCUCCAAAUGAGACCAAAUGAGACAUAAAACAAUUAUAGGUCCCGUACGGGCUUCAACAAUGAGUAAAAUUCAUACUGCAUAGUCUUCAAUUCCCGAAAUGAAUAAUGUAAAAAACAAAAAAAACUCUAACGACCUGAUUAAUGUACAAAAUAAAUAAGAAAGAAACAAAUAUAGUAUAUAGAAACACUGCAUUACCGUCUCGUGACUUGAAACAGACACAUACAGAUAUUGGCGGGGUUUAACUUUUUUAAGGGCACGUCAACACUCCCCUAACCUCGGACUGGAACCGUGUGUACCAGUGCAACAAGCUUUAUACCAAACCAACCGUUAUCUCCAUCAUCUUCAUUUUCAUCAACCGUCACAAGACAUGUUUUAAUAUUUCUACACAUUUCACUCAUGGCCACAGGUCUGCACAUGAAAGGUUCUGCUCAAAG
rnacentral:lncRNA from 1 species